rnacentral:misc_RNA from 1 species
GAUGAAGAACGUAGCGAAAUGCGAAAAGUAGUGUGAAUUGCAGAAUUCAGUGAAUCAUCGAAUCUUUGAACGCACAUUGCGCCCUAUGGUAUUCCGUAGGGCAUGCCUGUUCGAGCGUCAUUCAAACCUUCAAGCUCUGCUUGGUGUUGGGCGUCUGUCCUGCCUCACGGCGCGGACUCGCCUCAAAUCUAUUGGCGGCCGGCACGUUGGCUUCGAGCGCAGCAGAAACGCGAACUCGAGACCGGCGGAUCGGCUCCCAGAAGCUACCCCCAUGAAUUUGACCUCGGAUCAGGUAGGACUACCCGCUGAACUUAAGCAUAUCAAUAAGCGGAGGA